GCCCUCGUAGCUCAGGUGGAUAGAGCAAUGGUUUCCUAAACCAUGUGUCGGCGGUUCGAGUCCGUCCGGGGGCACCA
rnacentral:tRNA from 1 species